GUGAGUGGCAUCAGGAUGUCUGAGAGGAGAGCAUGGUGUUUUUGCUUCAUUGGAUCCAUGCAGGUCUUGGAGGGUGGUGGCCCACUCUUUCUGGGCCAAGUAGAGGGUGGCUCAGACACCCCCCCUUCCUCCAGGCUUCUCAUCUGUAACUGGUGAAGCCCGGAAGAGCUUGUUGUUCAAGAGGAAAUCUUGUGUUACUUCUUUAUGAAGGACUCCAGCCUGGUGGAGAUGAAUGAGUCCUGAAGAUGGAAUCGAAGCUGUUUGGGCACAACUGCCUGGACCUUGCCCGGCCUCCUCCUCACUCACCGAGCCACCGGAAUAAAGUUGGAAGUGUUUGUGCUGGUAAUAUAUAGGACUUAAUUAACCUGGCCUUUUAUAGCAUUUCCAAUGGAGGGUUGGAACGAACUUUGAGGCAGCUUGAGAAAGGGAAAGGGGGGCCUGGGGUGAGAGCGUGUAUGUACAUACAACACUUGAUGUUGGUUUUUUCUUUUG
rnacentral:lncRNA from 1 species